GCCUGGAUAGCUGAGUUGGUUAGAGCGUGGUGCUGAUAAUGCCAAGGUUGCAGGUUUGAUCCCCGUAUGGGAAAGCU
rnacentral:tRNA from 1 species